rnacentral:rRNA from 1 species
CAGUCGCCGCGGGAAUACGUAGGGUGCGAGCGUUAAUCGGAAUUACUGGGCGUAAAGGGCGCGUAGGCGGCGAUCAAAGUCAGGCGUGAAAUUCCUGGGCUCAACCUGGGGGCUGCGCUUGAUACUUGGUUGCUUGAGUGAGGAAGAGGGUCGUGGAAUUCCCAGUGUAGAGGUGAAAUUCGUAGAUAUUGGGAAGAACACCAGUGGCGAAGGCGGCUCACUGGACGCGUAUUGACGCUGAGGCGCGAAAGCGUGGGGAGCAAACAGGAUUAGAUACCCCCGUAGUCCCUGUCUCUUAUAC